AUGGGGAACCAGGUGAACGGUGCAGCCAGCGCCGUGAGCUCUGGGCCCAUGGCGACCUAGGGCCCUGUCCUGCAGACUGCAGAUGGCAAGUACAAGCAACUCAAGGGUGAGUGGAACCAUAAAAGCCCCAACCUUAGCAAGUGCAGGGAAGGGCUGGGCUGCCUCAAGCUAGUUCUUCUGGAGCUCAACUUCUUGCCAACCACAGGGACCAAGCUGACCAAACAGCAGCUCAUUCUAGCCCGUGACAUACUGGAGAUCGGGGCCAGUGGAGCAUCCUAUGCAAGGACAUCCCCUCCUUCAAGCGCCACAUGGCCCAGCCCAAGUGCUGCUACUUUGAUUACAAGUAACAGCUUCCCGAGUCAGCCUAUAUGCACCAGCUCUUGGGCCUCAACCUCCUCUUCCUGCUGUCCCAGAAGCGGGUGGCUGAGUUCCACACAGAGCUGGAGUGGCUGCCUGCCAAGGACAUCCAGACCAAUGUCUACAUCAAACACCCUGUGCCGCUGGAGCAAUACCUGAUGGAGGGCAGCUACAACAAAGUGUUCCUGGCCAAGGGUAACAUCCCCACCGAGAGCUACACCUUCUUCAUCGACAUCCUGCUUAACACCAUCAGGGAUGAGCUCGCUGGGUGCAUUGAGAAAGCCUAUGAGAAAAUCCCUUUCACCGAGGCCACCAGAUCCUUUUCUUCAACACACUCAAAAAGAUGACCGACUACACCAAGAAGUGAGGGUGGGUCCUGGGUCCCAACAACUAAUAUAGUUUUGCCAGCCAGCAGCAGGAGUCGGAAGACAUUACCAUUCCCUCCAGAGAACUGGCCAAACAGGUCACCGAGUAUGCCCGGCAGCUAGAGAUGAUCAUCUGA